CUAGGAAUCAAGCCUCCCAAGUGCUUUGGAUACACAAUGGAACAGCAGUCUUGGAGUAACAACAAGAAGCAGAAGUCUACAGCAAUCUGGCCUCCAAUGGAACAAAUCUUCAGAAAUUACAGGAAGAUUUAGUCAAGGAAAAUCGGCGUGUAGAGAAGAAACUAGCCGAAAAUCACCUCCAUCGACCUCUCUUUCGUAUAAGAGAGCUGUUCCAUACGGAAGGGAAAGUCUCGGAAAGGUGACAGCAGGAGUAAAGAAGCUAUUAUGCAAUGCCAGAAGGCCACCUAUCAACAGUUUGCUGAAGCAUUCUCAAUCACUCCUUCGAUGAAAACAAUUACUCUUAUUCAAGAGAAAAAAGUUGAACUCAACAAAGAGGUUUUGUUGUAAUUUGGGAGUUCAAUUUGUACAGAAUUAAUGAAUCUGGGAUUCAUCUUGUACAUAUUGUACAUAUCUAUUGUUAUUCUUUCAAUUCUUUUGUAAUUAUAUAUAGUACACAGUUAUUGUAGUUUAUAAUACCAAUGUUCAUCAUAUUUGAAAAUUCA